CUUCCAUUUUCUUUAGCUUCCAAAACACCAAAGCCCACUUCAGUAAAACUCCAUUCUACUGUAAUCAAUCUUUCAAAAAGCUGAAAUCUGAAAAUCUCGAAAUCACAAGAGAAGAAGAACCGGCAAACACGACCCGAUCUCUUCUUUGAGUUUUCCGCUUCAAAAUCUUUAAAAUACAAACAGCGAGCAGAAGAGAGAGAGAAAACUUUUCGCUUCAAAUUCUUUCGAGUAGAAACUAAGCGAGAGAGAGAGAGAUAAGAAGAACCGGACGAUUGAUAUUGAUGCGAUCUAUAGGUUACGAUCGACUCUGCCAAA